AGGACGAACGCUGGCGGCGUGCUUAACACAUGCAAGUCGAGCGGAAAGGCCCUUCGGGGUACUCGAGCGGCGAACGGGUGAGUAACACGUGAGCAACCUGCCCUUGGCUCUGGGAUAGCCUCCGGAAACGGGGAUUAAUACCGGACAUGACCUGCUCCUGCAUGGGGGCGGGUGGAAAGUUUUUCGGCCAGGGAGGGCUCGCGGCCUAUCAGCUUGUUGGGGGGGUAACGGCCCACCAAGGCGACGACGGGUAG
rnacentral:rRNA from 1 species